GUGUUCACUUUGACAGCAUAUACAUCUGCUAAAACUGUAAUGAUUAGCGUGGUCCCUGCGUAAAGAUGAUGUGCAAAUUCAUGAGGUGUUCCACAUUUCU
rnacentral:snRNA from 1 species